GCCUGCUAGGGGGAGGGCCUGCAAAGAAGAAAUGCUGCUAGAGAAGCAGCAAGCUAACUUAAUGGCUAUGCAGCUGAGGAGCAAGAUGGCUUUUGACUCGGAUGAAACGCAAAAGGAUUGGUUCCUGAUUCAUCUGUGGGAAAAAGAGUGGUAAUCACUGAACCGAGGUCAGUAGACGUGGAAGGGAAAAAAUCUUUGUGCUCUCUGUGGGAAAUUAGGGGGCAAUGUCAGAAAUAUUGGGACCCGACCCAACAACACAAUCCUUGUAGCGCAAAAACUAAAUGACAGCUCAAAGCAAAGCAACCAAUGAAAGUUACUCUCAGUUUCCCCAAGAUUAUGAUAAUCAUUGGAAGGAAUUAAAGGAGCUACGGUGUCAGCAAUAGUAACAAGAAAGGUAUAGUGCUAUGGAGGAUUAAAGGUGAAAAGAGAGAGAGAGAGAGAGAGAGAGAGAGAGAGAGAGAGAGAGAGAGAGACUGGUGACAAAAGAUGGCCCAGUGAAGAUUGUGCACCCGUUAGAAAUGUCUGUGUAGGAGUAGGGUCAGAGAGAGAGAGAGAGAUAUGAUGAGUUCCGGAGUUUGACCAGUCCAGUAUUGAACAGUGGAGGAAAGAAGUUGGGUUCUUCUCAACUCAUUGGUGCGGUGGUGGGCGUUGCAGAAUGAAGUGUGAACUGAAAACAGAGUUGGUGGAAAUGGUUGGUCUCUAGAAGGAGAGGAGAAGCGACCAGAGAGCACUAGCGGGAGAGUCGUGGGGCAUAGCUUGUCUGAAGCAAACUUGGUCCCAGUAUAAGAUAUGCUUUCGAACAUUUGUCAGCCAAAGGGUUGAAGGGACGGCUGUGGUGGUGUUGGAAGUGGACUGGUCCACGACUCUGACCUCUCUGCUGACUUGUCAAUGAAGUCUAAUUGGUGCGUCCUUCCAAACUUCACGUGGCUUUGUUACCAUUAACGUUUAAAGUGUGUUUGUGUGUUGUGUCUACCUCUCGUUUAGAAGAAGAUAUUAUUUAUAUGAAUCUGUUUUCCAAAGAAAAGAGGCUACUUGGAAACCGUCUACUGACUCAGUGCCUUUUGCAUAUAUAUGUUUGAAAACACACAAGUCACGGGUUUCCGGUGAUCUUUAUCUAUCUUUUUUUAUUCUACUCACAACUGGCGAAAAGCCUUGUUGGGUCUGAAUGGGCCAAUACUGAAAUUUUUGAAUAGAAUAUAUCCAUGUAAAGUCUAGUCCAAACGUAAAAUCUAGCCCAAACAUAUGAGUAGCAGCAAUAUUGAAUCAGAAUUAAAAAAAGAAAAAAAAAAA